UGUGAGCAGAAACUCAUUUGUAGAAAAAAUGCAAGCUGCUUCAACACUGUUGGCAGCUAGUACUGUCAGUGUCACACAGGGUUCAUACCAGAGGAUACUAAACCAACUGUUAAUUUCACACAAGCGGAUAAGAUUCAGUGCAAAGACAUCAAUGAAUGUGUAGAGAAAAACACUGAUUGUGGCUCUAAUGCAACAUGUGUGAAUACUGAAGGAGGUUAUUAUUGCACAUGUGAAUCUGGCUUCAUUUUCAGCGGUGGAAACAAGACAUUUUUAGCAGAAUCAGGAGUUCAAUGUAUUGAUUUAAAAGUAGCAUGGCAGGAAGGAUG